rnacentral:rRNA from 1 species
GGGACACGUGGUAUCCUGUCUGAAUAUGGGGGGACCAUCCUCCAAGGCUAAAUACUCCUGACUGACCGAUAGUGAACCAGUACCGUGAGGGAAAGGCGAAAAGAACCCCGGCGAGGGGAGUGAAAAAGAACCUGAAACCGUGUACGUACAAGCAGUGGGAGCACGCUUAGGCGUGUGACUGCGUACCUUUUGUAUAAUGGGUCAGCGACUUAUAUUCUGUAGCAAGGUUAACCGAAUAGGGGAGCCGAAGGGAAACCGAGUCUUAACUGGGCGUUAAGUUGCAGGGUAUAGACCCGAAACCCGGUGAUCUAGCCAUGGGCAGGUUGAAGGUUGGGUAACACUAACUGGAGGACCGAACCGACUAAUGUUGAAAAAUUAGCGGAUGACUUGUGGCUGGGGGUGAAAGGCCAAUCAAACCGGGAGAUAGCUGGUUCUCCCCGAAAGCUAUUUAGGUAGCGCCUCGUGAAUUCAUCUCCGGGGGUAGAGCACUGUUUCGGCAAGGGGGUCAUCCCGACUUACCAACCCGAUGCAAACUG